AAAACUGUAAAUUUCCAAAUAUGUUUUCCAUAAAUAUAGUUCCAAAAGUAGCCUUUUAUUUUUCCAUCAUGGUAGAAAAAAGGCAGAGCAAUGAGUGAAGGCCGAAUCCCGCAGAUGAAGUAAACGAGGAGAGAGAAAGUAUCUGUGAAUCUGUCCAUCUGUCAAACCCCCUCUCUCUCUCUCUCUCUCUACAAAUUCUAGAGAGAGAAAGAAGAAAAACCCCUCUCUCUCUUUCUCUCUCUAUGAUUUCAGGGCCUCUGCUCAAUCACCGUCAGUUUUAACUAGUCUUGGUAGCUCCGCCGUGCCGGAGCUCUUCCACACAUUCUAGAAAACGACUGUCGGAAGUGGGUUCAAAUUAAUUGUCCUGUAUUUCAAGAGGUUUUAAUAACUUUCUAUGUGGGAAGACCGAAAAAGGGGCGAUGGAAAACAACGUAUUUUCGAGCAUUGCUGACGGCGCACAGAUCGAGGGCAAGUUUCUUCAGACAUUCAACAAAAACUUUGUGCUGGUCCAAACAAUUUUGGACCAGAACAGGCUCUUAAUCAACGAGAUCAAUCGGAAUCAAGAAUCCAAGAUCCCCGACAAUUUAUCCCGAAACGUGGGGUUGAUUAAAGAGCUCAACAACAACAUUAGAAGGGUCGUUGAUCUUUACGCUGAUUUAUCCGACUCGGCUAAAUCAAUGGAAGCUUCCUAUGAAGGGGAAUCGGCCGGGACUAUUAAAUCCGACGGAAGAGGUGGACUAAAGAGGGUUAGGUCCGAAAACUGAUCGUAUUUUUUUAGUCUUUUCUUUUUAUUUUCACUUCGAUUCGUGAUAAUAUUCUAGAAAAGAUUCCGUUUUGGACCCUCUGUUGGAAAAUGCAUGAUAGAGGGACUCGAUUUCUUGAGUUUAAAUAACUUUUUUCUUGCAUAUGGGAAUAGUGGAUACACAUUCAGCUGUAGUUUAUGUAGCUUUCUUUUCAUUGAUAAAGGUAAUUAAUUUGUUUUUCUAC